GUUUACAGAGAACAGACAAACAAUAUGGCGCACCGAGUACAGACAAACAACACAACACUCCGUGAUGGAGCACGCCCAGAGCUCAACAAAUUGGACUCGGACACCUUCCGUCCGGACACAGACGGAGAGAAGGUUCACAGAUGAGGUGGCAUUCGUCAUGGAUGUGCUUCUGCCAGAGGCGACAGUCCACGCCCUUGCAGCUGUACUCUCGGUUUCCCUUGAAAGAGCCAAGGAAACGUAUAAAUGUGGACCAGAGUAUGA